GGUUAAGUGACUAAGCGUACACGGUGGAUGCCUUGGCAGUCAGAGGCGAUGAAGGACGUAUUAACUUGCGAUAAGCCCAGAUUAGGUAGUAAAAACCAUUUGAGUCUGGGAUUUCCGAAUGGGGAAACCCAAUACCAUAAGGUAUUACUGUUGAGUGAAUACAUAGCUCAACAGGGCGAACCGGGGGAACUGAAACAUCUAAGUACCCCGAGGAAAAGAAAUCAACCGAGAUUCCGAAAGUAGCGGCGAGCGAAAUUGGACUAGCCCUUAAGCUUUACACGCGUUAGACGAACGGUCUGGAAAGUCCGACGAUACAGGGUGAUAGUCCCGUAGUUGACGAC
rnacentral:rRNA from 1 species